rnacentral:rRNA from 1 species
UGCCAGACUCCUACGGGAGGCAGCAGUGAGGAAUAUUGGUCAAUGGGCGGGAGCCUGAACCAGCCAAGCCGCGUGAAGGAAGAAGGCGCCAAGCGUCGUAAACUUCUUUUGUCGGGGAACAAAGGGCGCCACGUGUGGCGUUGUGAGUGUACCCGAAGAAAAAGCAUCGGCUAACUCCGUGCCAGCAGCCGCGGUAAUACGGAGGAUGCGAGCGUUAUCCGGAUUUAUUGGGUUUAAAGGGUGCGUAGGCGGCCGGAAAUGUCAGCGGAAAAACCCGGGGCCACACCCCCGGCGAGCCGUUGAAACUGUCGGACUAGAGACGGCGAGAAGUACGCGGAAUGCGCGGUGUAGCGGUGAAACGCAUAGAUAUCACGCAGAACUCCGAUUGCGAAGGCAGCAUACCGGCGCCCGACUGACGCUGAGGCACGAAAGCGUGGGUAUCGAACAGGAUUAGAUACCCUAGUA